CCUUCUAACCCGCUGCCCUUAUCGGGCAGGGAGACAGUGUCAGGUGGGCAGUUUGACUGGGGCGGUCGCCUCCUAAAAGGUAACGGAGGCGCCCAAAGGUUCCCUCAGAAUGGUUGGAAAUCAUUCGCAGAGUGUAAAGGCACAAGGGAGCUUGACUGCGAGACCUACAAGUCGAGCAGGGACGAAAGUCGGGCUUAGUGAUCCGGUGGUUCCGCAUGGAAGGGCCAUCGCUCAUCGGAUAAAAGCUACCCCGGGGAUAACAGGCUUAUCUCCCCCAAGAGUCCACAUCGACGGGGAGGUUUGGCACCUCGAUGUCGGCUCAUCG
rnacentral:rRNA from 1 species